rnacentral:sRNA from 2 species
AUCUGCUUACUUUCAGGAUCGCCAUUCUGGUGUGGGAGGCAGGUCGUCGAGGACUUCAAUUACUAUCCUUGUAUGCGAAGUUGUUCCUCUCAAUAAUACGACACAGCGUAUGGUGGACAAUGUCCUAUCUAAAGCCCUUGGCUAUGCCAGACAUCCACAUGGCUGACUCUACACAACGACGUCAAUCUUUCGGCAUCGGUAAAAGCUAGAUAAUAAGAAAGGCAAUUGUGGCUGGCAUGGAUUUGAUCUGCCACAAGAACGACUUCUGCGUCAUGGCACCAACCGGAGCAGCAGCCGACGCUAUGGGGGAGAUACUUACCUAACUUCCCUUGGAAUUUCCCUUAACCGAUCUAUGCGAAGAAGAAUGGGGCCCAGAAUCCGCAGACCGUUGGUCGCGGAAGACCAUAAUGGUCAUAUACGAGUCAACCGGUUUAGAGGCUCCUGAGGAUUGAGACAAACUAGGACGGGAAGCUCUUGUGCGACAAAUUCAAACAAGCAAUUCUGCUGGAUGAGGAAAUGCGACAAACGGAGGAUGUAACAUCUUCAAGUGUGCAAGAAGAGGUUCAUUUAACCUACAAUGACGUGCUCACCGUGAAUUUAAAACAAUCACAUUUCUUGCAGCUCCCCAGCUGAAAAACAAAUAGUCAUUGACAAACGCAACAGCCUCCUACAUGUUAUAAACUGUAUCCGGAUUGAACGCUUCGCGCGAUCCAGAAACGAAAAAAAAAUCUUCCCUGCUCUCCAGUAUUGCACCACAUCCCCUAGGACCGACAGAUCACGAUCCCGUGCAAAUACCCUGCUUGGAGAAACCAAGUAGGGAGUAAACGAAGACCCUAUUCCUAUUCCUGUGACUCCUCCUAUACUCCUAUAGUGUCGCCUUCAACGAAAUCCAUAAUGAAGUAACAUCGGCAUCCGAAUAAUGUGCCUUGUGUCUUGGUAUUGAGAAUUUGAUAAACUUUAGGGACAGGUAUUGAUGUUUUUGCUUCAACUAACUUCGUGAUCUCUGCUUCACAUGGCCGUACAAGCUCACCUCCUUUGAGAACCAAUGUGCGGGAGAGACGCGCAAUGCGUGUUCCCUGGUAAUCAUGCAGCAAUGGCGCAAGUUUUGAAGAGUUCAAUCAGAGCUUCAUUGGAGACUUUGGGUAUAUCGUAGCCGUCGAGGGGAAACUUGGUCAGAGGCUGUCUGGUCGCAAGCUCGCAGCGCAUUUUCUAUCAGAGAGGGCUUCGGAUUAACUAUGGCGGAACAUUUUGUCUUACACCGAAAUUGGGUGUACCAAGGCGUACAGCUUUCGUCAUCCGGCAGUGAUCUUGUGUGAAUCAACUAUUACUAUUCUGUCAUGGAAGGUUGACCACACUUUGACAGACGGUCGGUGGUUUGAAUUGAGCGGGCCCGAGCUUGCACCGGAAGUUUUUCCGGCCGAAAAUUCUAAUUGAGCCUCCAGGGGUAACUCAUCUAUAAAGAUCCAUAGAUACUACUAGUAUGGGAAUAUACUAAUAUCAAGGAAGUUAAAUACAAUAAAUGUUUAACUAUUCAAAAUCCAUUGAAGAUUACUGGUGAAGAUUAUAGAAAUGAAGAUAAUAAUCCUGGUUUUAGAAAAAGUUUUAUUUCCGUACUCGUAUGCUCCCUUCACUCAAGUAUAAUCUAUCCUGUUAUCCUGUAUCUUAUGUUGUGUUGAAGAGAUCUAUUUUUUGAUGAAAAUUGCAUUUUCCUGUAUCUCUUGUAUGAGACUGCUAUAGAAAAGUUACCUCAAAUUGAAAAAGUUGCACUUACUCCUUUGCGAUGCCGCCGCGAAUAUUCAUGGCGUUUAUUACUUCCUGCCUAAUGAAAAUUCCAGAAACAGUUCCAUUCAGCACUAUCA